GUGCCAGCCGCCGCGGUAAUACGUAGGGUGCAAGCGUUAUCCGGAAUUAUUGGGCGUAAAGAGCUCGUAGGCGGUUUGUCGCGUCUGGUGUGAAAGUCCAUCGCUUAACGGUGGAUCUGCGCCGGGUACGGGCAGGCUGGAGUGCAGUAGGGGAGACUGGAAUUCCCGGUGUAACGGUGGAAUGUGUAGAUAUCGGGAAGAACACCAAUGGCGAAGGCAGGUCUCUGGGCUGUUACUGACGCUGAGGAGCGAAAGCGUGGGGAGCGAACAGGAUUAGAUACCCUGGUAGUCCACGCCGUAAACGGUGGAUGCUGGAUGUGGGGCCCAUUCCACGGUUCCGUGUCGGAGCUAACGCGUUAAGCAUCCCGCCUGGGGAGUACGGCCGCAAGGCUAAAACUCAAAGAAAUUGACGGGGCCCGCACAAGCGGCGGAGCAUGCGGAUUAAUUCGAUGCAACGCGAAGAACCUUACCUGGGCUUGACAUGUGCCGGACGGUCCCAGAGAUGGGGCCUCCCCGUUCGGGGCCCGGCUCGAC
rnacentral:rRNA from 1 species